AGAGCGAACGCUGGCGGCAGGCCUAACACAUGCAAGUCGAGCGCCCGUAGCAAUACGGGAGCGGCAGACGGGAUAGUAACACGUGGGAACGCGCCCUUCGGUUCGGAAUAACUCAGGGAAACUUGAGCUAAUACCGGAUACGCCCUUACGGGGAAAGAUUUAUUGCCGAAGGAACGGCCCGCGUCCGAUUAGCUAGUUGGUGAGGUAAUGGCUCACCAAGGCGACGAUCGGUAGCUGGUCUGAGAGGAUGACCAGCAUCACUGGGACUGAGACACGGCCCAGACUCCUACGGGAGGCAGCAGUGGGAAUAUGGACAAUGGCGCAAGCCUGAUCCAGCCAUGCCGCGUGGAUGAUGAAGGCCUUAGGGUUGUAAAGUCCUUUUAACGGGGAAGAUAAUGACGGUACCCGUAGAAUAAGCCCCGGCUAACUUCGUGCCAGCAGCCGC
rnacentral:rRNA from 1 species